GUGUGUUGGAAGUUCAACUAGGCUGGUCAAGCAAACCAGUUGGUGUUCCUAUUGGAGAUGAUAACAAUGAAAGGAGAGAGAAAUUUACAAUUCUGACUGCUGCAACUUGUUGAACUAGAUUAGAAAAUUAGGUAUUGGUUAAUUGGUUAGGUCAGGCUAGUGAUGUUAAAUAUUCUUGGUGAUAACUUUGGAAUUAGAAGGAAUUUUGGAAUUCUGAUUGCAGAAGAUUAAUCAGCAGGUCCGAUCACAUCUGUUGACAUGUUUUAUAAGAGAGUUGAGUGGAUAUUUUAUGCUUAAACUGAGGUGGUGCAUGAAGUUAAUAUGCAAAGCAGGAAUCACAGCAAAAUUAGCAAGUAAAUCAAAGCCUGCAAACAGGAGGAAUGAAUAUAUGAGUUUAUGACAACACAAUCUUCAAAACUAUUUAAUUAGCUUUCAUUUGAUAUGAAAUUUGUUUAAUUUGAAAGAAAAUUAACAAAGUUAUGGGCAGAAGAAGAAACAAAAACAAAAAAUUAUUAAACUUGUCAUUAUCCACAUCUAUCAACUAUACAUUUCAAUGGAAGCAUGGUCGUACUAGGAUUGAAUAGGAUGUCUUACAAGAACAAAAAUGUUAAGGAAGUCCAACUGAACUAGUCAAGCAAACCAGUUGGUGUUCCUAUUGGAGAUGAUAACAAUGAAAGGAGAGAGAAAUUUACAAUUCUGACUGCUGCAUCUUGUUAGACUAGAUUAGAAAAUUAGGUAUUGGUUAAUUGGUUAGGUCAGGCUAGUGAUGUUACAUAUUCUUGAUGAUAACUUUGGAUUGAGAAGGAAUUUUGAAAUUCUGAUUGCAGAAGAUUAAUCAGCAGGUCCGAUUACAGCUACAGAGAUGUUUUAUAGGAGAGAUGAGUGGAUAUUCCAACUGAACUAGUCAAGCAAACCAGUUGGUGUUCCUAUUGAAGGUGAUAACAAUGAAAGGAGAGAGAAAUUUACAAUUCUGACUCCUGCAACUUGUUAGACUAGACUAGAAAAUUUGGUGGUAUUGGUUAAUUGGUUAGGCCAGGUUAAUAAUAUUACAUAUACUACAUUACAUAUUUGGUGAUAACUUUGGAAUUAGAAGAAAUAUUUGAAUUCUGAUUGCAAAAAGUGAAUCAGCAGGUCCGAUUACAGCUAUAGACAUGUUUUAUAAGAUAGAUGAUUGGAUAUUUUUGCUUAAACUGAGAUGAUGCAUGAAGUUAAUUUGCAAAGUAGGAAUCACAGCAGAAUUAGCAAGGGAAUCAAAGCCUGCGAACAGGAGGAAUGAAUAUAUGAGUUUAUGACAACACAAUCUUCAAAACUAUUUAAUUAGCUGUCAUUUGAUAUGAAAUUUGUUUAAUUUGGAUGAUAAUUAACAAAGUAAUGGACAAAACAAGAAACAGAAUCAGAUAAAGCAAAAAUUUGUCAACACCUCUCAUCAAAUAAACAUUUAAAUGAAAGCCAUUCACCAGAAGCAUUAAACAAAAGGGUUUAGAGGAGCAAAAUCUUAAAGCCAAGUUAUUUUUCUUUCAUUAGAUAUAACAUUUGUUCAGAUUGGAUCAAAAUUAAACAAAGUAUAAGCAAAAA